UAGACCUGGGUUUGCUCGGCAGUCUGAAAUAUUGACUAGAACAUCAAAGUGAGUUUGGAGAGGAAGGGUUACUUGAUAGACUUGAUGUUGCAAUUUACCUGAUUCUUUUCCAACUCUAGAUAUUUCUAACAUUGAUGUUGUAAUCUCAUUUCUAAAUACCCCUAUUUCCUAAAUAUUUGGCAUUUGGCCUUGUUUUUCUUUGGAUUCUUCUGAAAAGUCAGUACUUACCUAAUCACUUUGACAUAAACACUCAGUGAAUCAUGGCAGGGGUCUUCUAUAUAAAUUUAUAUAUGCUUGCAGGAAAUAGGGCCAUGAUCUAAAGCCUUUUCUCAUCAGUAUCAGUGUGCAGGAAGUUUAAGUAAAUGGUUUUUUGGUGGUUUUUAUAGCAUAACUAAGCUGUCAAUACUAGUGCUCUUCCAAAUCAUGAUGUGCUUACAACUCAGCAACAAUAGUGACAACUUAGUUUGUUCUGUUGCUGCCCAUUGCCUUGAUCUGCUCAUUUGAAGGGCCAAAUCCAGCCUGAAGUUGAAAGAUAUUUUGGUUGGAUUUGACUGAUCAUUAUGGAAGCAAAGUUUCCAUAAUGAAACUGGCUGUAGUAUUUCUGCCUUGAAAAGGAUUUUUUAAAGGUUGAAGAUAAGGCUGAAAGCUUCACUUAUAAGAAGACUUCAAGGAUUUCUCCUUUCCCCCAACCCCAAAUGUAAAAGAGAGCAGCAACUUUUCUGCCAAGAUUGGAGGUGGUUCUUUUGAAAUCAGAUACAGACUCAUCCCCAGGCUACUGAGACUGGGAGUUAUGGGCCUGUUUGAAUAUUUCAUGAAGAGGAGCUGGUUGAUACAACACUGAAACUACCUCAGGUUUGGAGGCAUCACGGUACUUGGUUGGCGACAGUGGGGACUCACAGGUCAGAGAAGGGACAAAUGAGUUUGUGUGCAGAAGAUACCCUUUUCUAUUUCACAACCACUUUGUGGAGACUCAGUCCCACCUAACGAGGAUGCACAUAGACUGAACUGAUGCCUUCCUGUCUUUUGUGGCAGCUGAGCUAUUUGUCUUCUCCCGUCUCCUACCUUCAUUUCUUCCUGCAGACAACAGCAUUCACUCCUGUCACAUCGGGCCCAGGAGAUUGGAGUUAAAAUUCAGAUAAAGGAGACCUUGGUCUCCUUCCUGUGCCACCUCUUGUCUGAGCUGAGGCAUCCUCCCACAUGGAGAAAGGAGCUGCAAAAAUCACUGGUCAAUCCGUUCUUCUUCAUGCCUUGUCAAUCCUUGCUAAGAGAGAGUGUGAGACAUUCCCCCCUCCCGUAAGUCUUGACUUAAGUGAACCACAGGAUCAUCUUUUCAUGGUGGCUUUUAAAAAGGAAGGCUUUACCUGCCUUUGCUUCAGCCUUUCAGUGAUCCUUUGAGAUCCCACAUGAGUUUGUGACCAUUCCUGAGCCCCGAGCUGGAAUUUCUAAAGCACUACCAGCAGCAACCCUAGGCAAAAUAAUGGAUGAAUGAGAGCAGAAGGAAGCACCAUGUGCUCUCAGAGUGGAGAACUGCACGUUCACAUAAGCUCUGAACAAUUUCUGAUUUUAUACUUUGCCAGUGUGUUAUUUAUGCUCUUGGAGCAUGGGGCGCAUCUGCUUGGUCAGCCUUGACAGUGGCCUGGCUCCAGGGAUCAAGACAAGCUGACCAAAGCAUUUCCAAAUUCUUGGUCAUAUUUGAGACCUCCUUGAGCUCCUGACUGGGUUACAUGAAUGCUGUGCUCGGAAGAAAGAGGAAGCAUUGGUUUGAGUUGUAGGUUGCAAGUGUUUCAGAGUGGCCUUGUAACCUCCUGAAUGUUGAGUCAGCCAUGUGUCAGGCACUGGUGCUGGUAACAGUACCAGUGUAAUAUGGCCUUGGGAUUGUUCUGUGUACAUCCCCUGCUCCUUUUGUGGUUUUGAAUUUCCCUAAAAAAGUUUUUUUCCUAAACUUUGGUAAUGAAGAUGAAAUCCCCCUUCAUUGCAUUUUUAUUCCUUUAUAUAGAUACUAUUGUCUCACUGAAGAAAUGAAUUUAAUAAUGAAUUAUCAUGUUCUCAUUGCUAUACACUUCCCCUUUGUACCUGGAUACCUCUGUUCCCUUUUGUGUUUUGAUAUAAGACUCUCGGACAGCCUGUGUGCUACAUGGGCAUGUGCUACCUACAGACCACACAGCAGCUUCUUCACUGAGAAUAGGUUUGUUCACCACAGUUGCAGUAAGGGCUGCAUUUCCAGUUUUUGCUUUUAUUUAAGUGUCUUUUAUUUACCUAAAUACAAGCCAUCCUUCCACUCUUGGCAAUUUUCACUGUUUCACUCAUAUAGGGCUGCAUUUGUUCAGACCAACCUCGAUGGUCAGUGUACUCUAUCCAUUUUUAUUCAAUGAAAGAGUUAAGCUGGUGACACUGAACUCUCCUCUCAAGGCAGAUAACACACCAUGUGGGUGACACAUUUACAUCUAUCCCUUGGAUUUACAUCUCUCUCCUCUG